UGACACAGCAUGCAGACAGUUUGUCUAGGGGACUUUGAUACUCUGGAAAGGGAGGAUUAAAUAGUGACCUGCCCGGAGGGCCAAGUCACACAGAGAGAUGGGGGAACAGUGCGAGCAAUCGAUGAAAAGGGUUCCAGAGUGGGUAAGAGCUAAUUCCUAGACCCGGCCGCAGGGCAGUGUCCCCGUUGUGACUGAGACCCGUCACACAUGCACAACACAUAUUACCACACCUACAGAUGGACUGAAUCACAAAAACCUGAAGCACAGGAUAAAUCAUUACUCUUGGGAUGUUGAAACCAGAAAGCAGAUUGGACUUCCAAAUGAGGCAUCCAAAAGUCCUGCAUUUUCCAGGAGGGAACUGUUACAUUUCCCUGUUAUUAGAAAAGGAAUCAAAGUGCCAGGCACUUUUCCACAGGAAAGGAACUGCUUGAGAACAGGGACCUGACCCUACAGAUUUCCCCCCUGCAAAUGAUCCUUGCUCACAUGAAUAGUCCCAUUUCAGACAACAGGACUACAUGCCUCAGGAAGGGAAGCAGGACGGAGCCUAUAGAGUCUAGCAAUACAAGAAAAAGGCCAUAUGAGAGUUCGUCAGGGGCCACUUUUGCAAUAAAAAAACAUUACCGUUUUUCAGAAUCCCUCCCUCCCUUCUGCAUAAAGAGAUCUCCUUGCUGCCCAGCCCACACAUGCCCAGGGACCCCAAUAGUGACUCAUGGGCAAAGAAAAUUAAACAUGAAACAAAUCUGGAUGCUCUGUUAAUAUUUAUGGAAAUGAGGAAAUAGCACUCAUCACAGCAAGGCACAGUUCCUGCAGGUAAUAUGCUAACUAUCCUUACACGCUUCUGCCUAUACAAUGGCAUAGCAGUUCUUAGUUACAACUAACUGCUGUACUAGUCCUUGGCCGCUUUCGCCUGUGGUGCUGAAGGGUGGGAUGGUUUUGACAUGUAAAAAAAAAGCCCAAACGGGACUAAGAUGGGACCACGUGAUUCAUUUUUCACUUGACACAUAAUCACUAGUAUAGGAAAAGCUAGGGGCCUAACUCACCCCCUUCAUCCUAUAAGUAAUUUAACAGCAGA